GGAUUGCCCUAGUAACGGCGAGUGAAGCGGCAUCAGCUCAAAUUUGAAAUCUGGCUCUUUCAGAGUCCGAGUUGUAAUUUGCAGAGGGCGCUUUGGCGUUGGCAGCGGUCUAAGUUCCCUGGAACAGGACGUCACAGAGGGUGAGAAUCCCGUAUGUGGUCGCUGGCCUUCGCCGUGUAAAGCCCCUUCGACGAGUCGAGUUGUUUGGGAAUGCAGCUCUAAAUGGGAGGUAAAUUUCUUCUAAAGCUAAAUACUGGCCAGAGACCGAUAGCGCACAAGUAGAGUGAUCGAAAGAUGAAAAGCACUUUGGAAAGAGAGUCAAAUAGCACGUGAAAUUGUUGAAAGGGAAGCGCUUGCAGCCAGACUUGCCUGUAGUUGCUCAUCCGGGCUUUUGCCCGGUGCACUCUUCUGCGGGCAGGCCAGCAUCAGUUUGGGCGGUUGGAUAAAGGCCUCUGUCAUGUACCUCCUUUCGGGGAGGCCUUAUAGGGGAGGCGACAUGCAACCAGCCUGGACUGAGGUCCGCGCAUCUGCUAGGAUGCUGGCGUAAUGGCUGUAAGCGGCCCGUCUUGAAACACGGACCAAGGAGUCUAACAUCUAUGCGAGUGUUUGGGUGUCAAGCCCGAGCGCGUAAUGAAAGUGAACGGAGGUGGGAUCCCUUAAGGGUGCACCAUCGACCGAUCCUGAUGUCUUCGGAUGGAUUUGAGUAAGAGCAUGGCUGUUGGGACCCGAAAGAUGGUGAACUAUGCUUGAAUAGGGUGAAGCCAGAGGAAACUCUGGUGGAGGCUCGCAGCGGUUCUGACGUGCAAAUCGAUCGUCAAAUUUGGGCAUAGGGGCGAAAGACUAAUCGAACUAUCUAGUA
rnacentral:rRNA from 1 species